AUAAUCAGUGAAAUCGAGUAGGGCGGGACACGUGAUAUCCUGUCUGAAUAUGGGGGGACCAUCCUCCAAGGCUAAAUACUACUGACUGACCGAUAGUGAACCAGUACCGUGAGGGAAAGGCGAAAAGAACCCCUGUGAGGGGAGUGAAAUAGAACCUGAAACCGUGUACGUACAAGCAGUAGGAGCACCUUCGUGGUGUGACUGCGUACCUUUUGUAUAAUGGGUCAGCGACUUAAUUUUAGUAGCAAGGUUAACCGUUUAGGGGAGCCGUAGGGAAACCGAGUCUUAACUGGGCGUACAGUUGCUAGGAUUAGACCCGAAACCAGGUGAUCUAGCCAUGGGCAGGUUGAAGGUUGAGUAACAUCAACUGGAGGACCGAACCGACUAAUGUUGAAAAAUUAGCGGAUGACUUGUGGCUAGGGGUGAAAGGCCAAUCAAACCUGGAGAUAGCUGGUUCUCCCCGAAAGCUAUUUAGGUAGCGCCUCGGACGAAUACUACUGGGGGUAGAGCACUGUUAAGGCUAGGGGGUCAUCCCGACUUACCAACCCUUUGCAAACUCCGAAUACCAGUAAGUACUAUCCGGGAGACACACGGCGGGUGCUAACGUCCGUCGUGGAGAGGGAAACAACCCAGACCGCCAGCUAAGGUCCCAAAGUAUAGCUAAGUGGGAAACGAUGUGGGAAGGCUCAGACAGCCAGGAUGUUGGCUUAGAAGCAGCCAUCAUUUAAAGAAAGCGUAAUAGCUCACUGGUCGAGUCGGCCUGCGCGGAAGAUGUAACGGGGCUAAGCUAUACACCGAAGCUGCGGCUACGUACCUUAGGGUAUGUGGGGUAGGGGAGCGUUCUGUAAGCCGUUGAAGGUGGUCUGUAAGGGCUGCUGGAGGUAUCAGAAGUGCGAAUGCUGACAUGAGUAACGAUAAAGGGAGUGAAAAACUCCCUCGCCGGAAGACCAAGGGUUCCUGUCCAACGUUAAUCGGGGCAGGGUAAGUCGACUCCUAAGGCGAGGCCGAAAGGCGUAGUCGAUGGGAAACGGGUUAAUAUUCCCGUACUUCUUACAAUUGCGAUGGGGGGACGGAGAAGGCUAGGUGGGCCUGGCGACGGUUGUCCAGGUUCAAGUAUGUAGGCGGAAAGUUUAGGUAAAUCCGGACUUUCAUUAACGCUGAGAUACGAUGUCGAGCUACUACGGUAGUGAAGUCAUUGAUGCCAUGCUUCCAGGAAAAGCCUCUAAGCUUCAGAUUGUAAGGAAUCGUACCCCAAACCGACACAGGUGGUCGGGUAGAGAAUACCAAGGCGCUUGAGAGAACUCGGGUGAAGGAACUAGGCAAAAUGGUACCGUAACUUCGGGAGAAGGUACGCUCUUAUCAGUGAAGUCCCUUGCGGAUGGAGCAGACGAGAGUCGCAGAUACCAGGUGGCUGCAACUGUUUAUUAAAAACACAGCACUGUGCAAAAUCGUAAGAUGACGUAUACGGUGUGACGCCUGCCCGGUGCCGGAAGGUUAAUUGAUGGGGUUAGACUUCGGUCGAAGCUCUUGAUCGAAGCCCCGGUAAACGGCGGCCGUAACUAUAACGGUCCUAAGGUAGCGAAAUUCCUUGUCGGGUAAGUUCCGACCUGCACGAAUGGCGUAAUGAUGGCCACGCUGUCUCCACCCGAGACUCAGUGAAAUUGAAAUCGCUGUGAAGAUGCAGUGUACCCGCGGCUAGACGGAAAGACCCCGUGAACCUUUACUACAGCUUGGCACUGAACAUUGAACCUACAUGUGUAGGAUAGGUGGGAGACUUUGAAACCGCGUCGCUAGAUGUGGUGGAGUCGUCCUUGAAAUACC
rnacentral:rRNA from 1 species